AGAGAGAGAGAGAGAGAGAGGAAAUUCGUGGAAAUUCGUCUAACAGUGGUUGAGCUUACUAACCAUUUUCAGCUGCAGUUUAAAUGUUUUGAUGUUCGGUCAGCAACUCUCAGAUCUCCGGAUGGGCCAUGCCAUGAUCAGCUUCGAUUGAUCUGCCUGGCUCCCUGAAUGCCAUCUUAGAAGCUUGUCAAGAUGGUUGAUUCACUUCCUAGUUGGCUUUCGGGGGGCCAUGCAGGCCCAAAAGAGACGGAUCCAGUACUUGCAGGUGCAUUUCAAUCAGAACACCUCUCUUUUAUAUAUGUACCUAUUAAUAAAGUAUUGAUGCAAAGGUAACUUAGUAAGAGGUUUACUUGAAUACAUCAAUACAUUUGUAUGUAUUGUAAUAUAGUACAUUAGGACUUUAGCCCUUAAUAUGAAUCAUCUUUCAAUGAUCCAAACCGUUUAUGAGACAAUUCUUACUUUGUAUAGUGGACUUACAGUCAAUAAAUAAAAGCACCUAGUUUGAAUAUUUGAAG